rnacentral:rRNA from 1 species
AUUGAACGCUGGCGGCAGGCUUAACACAUGCAAGUCGAACGAUGAUUAUCUAGCUUGCUAGAUAUGAUUAGUGGCGGACGGGUGAGUAACAUUUAGGAAUCUGCCUAGUAGUGGGGGAUAGCUCGGGGAAACUCGAAUUAAUACCGCAUACGACCUACGGGUGAAAGGGGGCGCAAGCUCUUGCUAUUAGAUGAGCCUAAAUCAGAUUAGCUAGUUGGUGGGGUAAAGGCCCACCAAGGCGACGAUCUGUAACUGGUCUGAGAGGAUGAUCAGUCACACCGGAACUGAGACACGGUCCGGACUCCUACGGGAGGCAGCAGUGGGGAAUAUUGGACAAUGGGGGCAACCCUGAUCCAGCCAUGCCGCGUGUGUGAAGAAGGCCUUUUGGUUGUAAAGCACUUUAAGCAGGGAGGAGAGGCUAAUGGUUAAUACCCAUUAGAUUAGACGUUACCUGCAGAAUAAGCACCGGCUAACUCUGUGCCAGCAGCCGCGGUAAUACAGAGGGUGCGAGCGUUAAUCGGAAUUACUGGGCGUAAAGCGAGUGUAGGUGGCUCAUUAAGUCACAUGUGAAAUCCCCGGGCUUAACCUGGGAACUGCAUGUGAUACUGGUGGUGCUAGAAUAUGUGAGAGGGAAGUAGAAUUCCAGGUGUAGCGGUGAAAUGCGUAGAGAUCUGGAGGAAUACCGAUGGCGAAGGCAGCUUCCUGGCAUAAUAUUGACACUGAGAUUCGAAAGCGUGGGUAGCAAACAGGAUUAGAUACCCUGGUAGUCCACGCCGUAAACGAUGUCUACUAGCCGUUGGGGUCCUUGAGACUUUAGUGGCGCAGUUAACGCGAUAAGUAGACCGCCUGGGGAGUACGGCCGCAAGGUUAAAACUCAAAUGAAUUGACGGGGGCCCGCACAAGCGGUGGAGCAUGUGGUUUAAUUCGAUGCAACGCGAAGAACCUUACCUGGUCUUGACAUUGUGAGAAUCCUGCAGAGAUGCGGGAGUGCCUUCGGGAAUUCACAUACAGGUGCUGCAUGGCUGUCGUCAGCUCGUGUCGUGAGAUGUUGGGUUAAGUCCCGCAACGAGCGCAACCCUUUUCCUUAUUUGCCAGCGGGUUAAGCCGGGAACUUUAAGGAUACUGCCAGUGACAAACUGGAGGAAGGCGGGGACGACGUCAAGUCAUCAUGGCCCUUACGACCAGGGCUACACACGUGCUACAAUGGUAGGUACAGAGGGUUGCUACACAGCGAUGUGAUGCUAAUCUCAAAAAGCCUAUCGUAGUCCGGAUUGGAGUCUGCAACUCGACUCCAUGAAGUCGGAAUCGCUAGUAAUCGCAGAUCAGAAUGCUGCGGUGAAUACGUUCCCGGGCCU